CCUACGGGAGGCUGCAGUGGGGAAUAUUGGACAAUGGGCGAAAGCCUGAUCCAGCCAUGCCGCGUGUGUGAAGAAGGCCUUCGGGUUGUAAAGCACUUUCAGUGGGGAAGAAAGCCUUGGGGUUAAUACCCUCGAGGAAGGACAUCACCCACAGAAGAAGCACCGGCUAACUCCGUGCCAGCAGCCGCGGUAAUACGGAGGGUGCGAGCGUUAAUCGGAAUUACUGGGCGUAAAGCGCGCGUAGGCGGUCUGAUAAGCCGGUUGUGAAAGCCCCGGGCUCAACCUGGGAACGGCAUCCGGAACUGUCAGGCUAGAGUGCAGGAGAGGAAGGUAGAAUUCCCGGUGUAGCGGUGAAAUGCGUAGAGAUCGGGAGGAAUACCAGUGGCGAAGGCGGCCUUCUGGACUGACACUGACGCUGAGGUGCGAAAGCGUGGGUAGCAAACAGGAUUAGAUACCCUAGUAGUC
rnacentral:rRNA from 1 species